CAGCAGGUAGCCUAGUGGUUAGAGCGUUGGGCCAGUAACCAGCAGGUAGCCUAGUGGUUAGAGCGUUGGGCCAGUAACCAGCAGGUAGCCUAGUGGUUAGAGCGUUGGGCCAGUAACCAGCAGGUAGUCUAGUGGUUAGAGCGUUGGGCCAGUAACCAGCAGGUAGCCUAGUGGUUAGAGCAUUGGGCCAGUAAACAGCAGGUAGCCUAGUGGUUAGAGCGUUGGGCCAGUAACCAGCAGGUAGCCUAGUGGUUAGAGCGUUGGGCCAGUAACCAGCAGGUAGCCUAGUGGUUAGAGCAUUGGGCCAGUAACCAGCAGGUAGCCUAGUGGUUAGAGCAUUGGGCCAGUAACCAGCAGGUAGCCUAGUGGUUAGAGCGUUGGGCCAGUAACCAGCAGGUAGCCUAGUGGUUAGAGCGUUGGGCCAGUAACCAGCAGGUAGCCUAGUGGUUAGAGCGUUGGGCCAGUAACCAGCAGGUAGCCUAGUGGUUAGAGCGUUGGGCCAGUAACCAGCAGGUAGCCUAGUGGUUAGAGCGUUGGGCCAGUAACCAGCAGGUAGUCUAGUGGUUAGAGCGUUGGGCCAGUAACCAGCAGGUAGCCUAGUGGUUAGAGC
ensembl:lncRNA